rnacentral:rRNA from 1 species
ACACAUGCAGUCGAGCGGCAGCGACAACAUUGAACCUUCGGGGGAUUUGUUGGGCGGCGAGCGGCGGACGGGUGAGUAAUGCCUGGGAAAUUGCCCUGAUGUGGGGGAUAACCAUUGGAAACGAUGGCUAAUACCGCAUGAUAGCUUCGGCUCGAAGAGGGGGACCUUCGGGCCUCUCGCGUCAGGAUAUGCCCAGGUGGGAUCAGCUAGUUGGUGAGGUAAGGGCUCACCAAGGCGACGAUCCCUAGCUGGUCUGAGAGGAUGAUCAGCCACACUGGAACUGAGACACGGUCCAGACUCCUACGGGAGGCAGCAGUGGGGAAUAUUGCACAAUGGGCGCAAGCCUGAUGCAGCCAUGCCGCGUGUAUGAAGAAGGCCUUCGGGUUGUAAAGUACUUUCAGCAGUGAGGAAGGGGGUAUCGUUAAUAGCGGUAUCCUUUGACGUUAGCUGCAGAAGAAGCACCGGCUAACUCCGUGCCAGCAGCCGCGGUAAUACGGAGGGUGCGAGCGUUAAUCGGAAUUACUGGGCGUAAAGCGCAUGCAGGUGGUUUGUUAAGUCAGAUGUGAAAGCCCGGGGCUCAACCUCGGAAUUGCAUUUGAAACUGGCAGGCUAGAGUACUGUAGAGGGGGGUAGAAUUUCACGUGUAGCGGUGAAAUGCGUA